AUUGAACGCUGGCGGCAGGCCUAACACAUGCAAGUCGAGCGGCAGCGGGAAAGUAGCUUGCUACUUUUGCCGGCGAGCGGCGGACGGGUGAGUAAUGCCUGGGAAAUUGCCCAGUCGAGGGGGAUAACAGUUGGAAACGACUGCUAAUACCGCAUACGCCCUACUGGGGAAAGCAGGGGACCUUCGGGCCUUGCGCGAUUGGAUAUGCCCAGGUGGGAUUAGCUAGUUGGUGAGGUAAUGGCUCACCAAGGCGACGAUCCCUAGCUGGUCUGCGAGGAUGAUCAGCCAAACUGGAACUGAGACACGGUCCAGACUCCUACGGGAGGCAGCAGUGGGGAAUAUUGCACAAGGGGGGAAACCCUGAUGCAGCCAUGCCGCGUGUGUGAAGAAGGCCUUCGGGUUGUAAAGCACUUUCAGCGAGGAGGAAAGGUUGAUGCCUAAUACGUAUCAACUGUGACGUUACUCGCAGAAGAAGCACCGGCUAACUCCGUGCCAGCAGCCGCAGUAA
rnacentral:rRNA from 1 species